rnacentral:rRNA from 1 species
UACAGAGGUGGCAAGCGUUGUUCGGAAUUACUGGGCGUAAAGGGCGCGUAGGCGGCCUUCUAAGUCGAACGUGAAAUCCCCGGGCUCAACCCGGGAACUGCGUCCGAUACUGGAAGGCUUGAAUCCGGGAGAGGGAUGCGGAAUUCCAGGUGUAGCGGUGAAAUGCGUAGAUAUCUGGAGGAACACCGGUGGCGAAGGCGGCAUCCUGGACUGGCAUUGACGCUGAGGCGCGAAAGCCAGGGGAGCAAACAGG